UCGCGCUCCGCUCCACGCGCGCCCCUCCGCGGCCCCACCCGCGGCCCGGAGCUCGGCGCCCCUCGAGCCGCGCGGGGGGCGCCGAGACAGUUCCCGGGCGGCCCUUCUCACACCAACUCCAUUUUGUAAAGGCGAGCCCACAAAGCACGGCGCGGUGUCGCCCUGAAACUUCAGCCGUCAGGACGAGUUACAGGACCAGCACCCAUCCUUCCGCCUCCAAAUGGACACGCCUGCUGCACGAACUGCUGUGAUCCAAGGCGCAGGCCGCGUAGACGCGUACGCGCACAGAUGCGGGAGGAGAAGCGCUGACCGCAGGGCCGGCACCCAGCAAGUGGACUCCAGGUUGCAGAACCCGAGAGGGACUUACAAAAAUCUCUCUAAAGAAUCAUUGACGACAGGGUCACCCUGGCUUGGGACACCAGCCUCAGGGAAUCUCAGUGGGUAGGGAGCUGGAAACACCAUUAGCAGGCUUGUCUGUGGGGUGGUACCAUGUCUAGUACCACCUCAAAUUGAAUCCAGCAAGUCUCGAUUUCCUGAAGCCCAGGCAGAGUUGGAUGAAAGCAUGCAUCUUACAUCAUUACUUCAGGUUCUUAAACCUUUGCCCAGCCUCUCGCCUCUGCUAGAGAUUUUCUUUUUCCUCUCUCUGUGUGGUCUGACCUUCUUUCCAAGAUCAAUCCACUAGCUCCCCUCUUUGAAUUCUGGUUAGCUGCAUGAAUAUGUGAUCCCUACCACAAGCUAUUGUUGGAUUAUAAAUCGGGCUGGGCACACACGUCAGUGUGUGUGGAUGGGUGUUUAUGUGGUGCCUCUCUUCCUAUCCAUUAUAAAAGCUCGCUGAAGGUGGGGGCUGUUUUGAUACCUUAUUGUCACCGUUCUCAGCACUGCACUUGGAAGCAUUCAAUUGAUAAUUGCUGGAGGAAGACUCAACAGAAUGUGAGCUGGUUGUAAAUUGUUUUUUCAUUAACAUACUGCUUAGCUAACUUUUAAACUUAAUAGUACCCAUUUAAUCUCUACUACAAAUAGAAUUAAGUCAGCUUUUACCAAAUAGACAAAAACAAAAGCCAGAGCUUCCUUGACACCUCUCAGCCACUUUACUGCCUCCCACAGACUUGAAAGAGACUGCAACCUUAAUUCAUAACUAACCAGAGGCUGGAUUACAGCUAAAAAAGGAAUUAUGUUCAAGGUUUUCUAGGCAUACAAAAUCAAUUCUAUUCAGGUCCGCUGUUCUUUAUGCCUACUGUUUGCCAAGUUCUACUUGAUAAUACAAGAAUCAAUUUUGCACCCUAAUUUUAGUAAGACGUUGAAGAAUAAUGACUUUCCUGCUUGCCAAAUGCCACAUGCCCCUGUGGUUGGUCUUUGUUUCAUUCUACUCAUUUCCACCAAGCAUUUUGCUGUCUGAUUCUGAAUUAGAUUCCUCUGGCUGGGCGGAGUCUGUUAUUGUGGCCUGUGUUGUGUCAUACAUUGACAACUAUAUUUAUGUAAGGGGGGGCUGAAACAUGUUUUCACAUACUAGUAAUAAAUCUAAGCAGACAGACAA